UCGGGAAUUUUGGGCAAUGGGCGCAAGCCUGGUCCAGCCAUGCCGCGUGCAGGAUGACGGUCCUAUGGAUUGUAAACUGCUUUUUGUACAGGAAGAAACAGUUCUACGUGUAGAACCUUGACGGUACUGUAAGAAUAAGGAUCGGCUAACUCCGUGCCAGCAGCCGCGGCAAUACGGAGGAUCCAAGCGUUAUCCGGAAUCAUUGGGUUUAAAGGGUCCGUAGGCGGUUAGAUAAGUCAGUGGUGAAAGCCCAUCGCUCAACGGUGGAACGGCCAUUGAUACUGUCUGACUUGAAUUAUUAGGAAGUAACUAGAAUAUGUAGUGUAGCGGUGAAAUGCUUAGAGAUUACAUGGAAUACCAAUUGCGAAGGCAGGUUACUACUAAUGGAUUGACGCUGAUGCACGAAGGCCAGGGUAGCGAACGGGAUUAGAUACCCAAGUAGUCCCUGAGCGGGCUGGCAAGGCGCAU
rnacentral:rRNA from 1 species